GUUGUAUUUCCUCCGUUCAAAAAUAUUUAUCAUCAAAAUGGAUAAAAAAUAUAUUUAGAACUAAAAUACAUCUAGAUACAUCCUCUUUUAUUCAUUUUGAUGACAAGUAUUUCCGGACGGAGGGAGUAUGUA
rfam:Triticum aestivum genome assembly, contig: Triticum_aestivum_CS42_TGACv1_scaffold_592200_7BS